rnacentral:rRNA from 1 species
AGCUGGUUGGUGGGGUAAUGGCCCACCAAGGCGACGAUCAGUAGCUGGUCUGAGAGGAUGAUCAGCCACACUGCGACUGAGACACGGCCCAGACUCCUACGGGAGGCAGCAGUGGGGAAUUUUCCGCAAUGGGCGAAAGCCUGACGGAGCAACGCCGCGUGGGGAUGAAGGCCUCUGGGCUGUAAACCUCUUUUCUCAAGGAAGAAGACAUGACGGUACUUGAGGAAUAAGCCACGGCUAAUUCCGUGCCAGCAGCCGCGGUAAUACGGGAGUGGCAAGCGUUAUCCGGAAUUAUUGGGCGUAAAGCGUCCGCAGGCGGCCCUGUAAGUCUGUCGUUAAAGCGUGGAGCCUAACUCCAUUUCAGCGAUGGAAACUACAGGGCUUGAGUGUGGUAGGGGCAGAGGGAAUUCCCGGUGUAGCGGUGAAAUGCGUAGAUAUCGGGAAGAACACCAGUGGCGAAGGCGCUCUGCUGGGCCAUAACUGACGCUCAUGGACGAAAGCCAGGGGAGCGAAAGGGAUUAGAUACCCCUGUAGUCCUGGCCGUAAACGAUGAACACUAGGUGUCGGGGGAAUCGACCCCCUCGGUGUCGUAGCCAACGCGUUAAGUGUUCCGCCUGGGGAGUACGCACGCAAGUGUGAAACUCAAAGGAAUUGACGGGGGCCCGCACAAGCGGUGGAGUAUGUGGUUUAAUUCGAUGCAACGCGAAGAACCUUACCAGGGUUUGACAUCCUGCGAAUCCCUCGGAAACUUGGGAGUGCCUUCGGGAGCGCAGAGACAGGUGGUGCAUGGCUGUCGUCAGCUCGUGUCGUGAGAUGUUGGGUUAAGUCCCGCAACGAGCGCAACCCACGUCUUUAGUUGCCAGCAUUCAGUUGGGCACUCUAGAGAGACCGCCGGUGAUAAACCGGAGGAAGGUGUGGAUGACGUCAAGUCAUCAUGCCCCUUACAUCCUGGGCUACACACGUACUACAAUGCUACGGACAGAGGGCAGCAAGCUCGCGAGAGUUAGCAAAUCCCAUAAACCGUGGCUCAGUUCAGAUCGUAGGCUGCAACUCGCCUACGUGAAGGAGGAAUCGCUAGUAAUCGCAGGUCAGCAUACUGCGGUGAAUACGUUCCCGGGCCUUGUACACACCGCCCGUCACACCAUGGAAGUUGGCCAUGCCCGAAGUCGUUACUCCAACCCUUGUGGAGGAGGACGCCGAAGGUGGGGCUGAUGACUGGGGUGAAGUCGUAACAAGGUAGCCGUACCGGAAGGUGCGGCUG